UACGUAGGGGGGCAAGCGUUGUCCGGAUUUAUUGGGCGUAAAGAGCGUGUAGGCGGCCAGGUAGGUCUGGUGUGAAAACUCGAGGCUUAACCUCGAGAUGUCAUCGGAAACCAUCUGGCUAGAGUCCGGAAGAGGAGAGUGGAAUUCCUGGUGUAGCGGUGAAAUGCGCAGAUAUCAGGAAGAACACCAAUGGCGAAAGCAGCUCUCUGGGACGGUACUGACGCUGAGACGCGAAAGCGUGGGGAGCGAACAGG
rnacentral:rRNA from 1 species